rnacentral:rRNA from 1 species
UGGGGAAUUUUGGACAAUGGGGGAAACCCUGAUCCAGCCAUCCCGCGUGUGCGAUGAAGGCCUUCGGGUUGUAAAGCACUUUUGGCAGGAAAGAAACGUCGCGGGUUAAUACCCCGCGGAACUGACGGUACCUGCAGAAUAAGCACCGGCUAACUACGUGCCAGCAGCCGCGGUAAUACGUAGGGUGCAAGCGUUAAUCGGAAUUACUGGGCGUAAAGCGUGCGCAGGCGGUUCGGAAAGAAAGAUGUGAAAUCCCAGAGCUUAACUUUGGAACUGCAUUUUUAACUACCGGGCUAGAGUGUGUCAGAGGGAGGUGGAAUUCCGCGUGUAGCAGUGAAAUGCGUAGAUAUGCGGAGGAACACCGAUGGCGAAGGCAGCCUCCUGGGAUAACACUGACGCUCAUGCACGAAAGCGUGGGGAGCAAACAGGAUUAGAUACCCUGGUAGUCCACGCCCUAAACGAUGUCAACUAGCUGUUGGGGUCUUCGGACCUUGGUAGCGCAGCUAACGCGUGAAGUUGACCGCCUGGGGAGUACGGUCGCAAGAUUAAAACUCAAAUGAAUUGACGGGGGUCAUA